GAUGAACGCUGGCGGCGUGCCUAAUACAUGCAAGUCGAGCGAACAGACGAGGAGCUUGCUCCUUUGACGUUAGCGGCGGACGGGUGAGUAACACGUAGGUAACCUACCUAUAAGACUUGGAUAACUUCGGGAAACCGGAGCUAAUACCGGAUAAUAUUUCGAACCGCAUGGUUCGAUAGUUAAAGAUGGCUUUGCUAUCACUUAUAGCUGGACCUGCGCCGUAUUAGCUAGUUGGUAAGGUAACGGCUUACCAAGGCAACGAUACGUAGCCGACCUGAGAGGGUGAUCAGCCACACUGGAACUGAGACACGGUCCAGACUCCUACGGGAGGCAGCAGUAGGGAAUCUUCCACAAUGGGCGAAAGCCUGACGGAGCAACGCCGCGUGAGUGAUGAAGGUCUUCGGAUCGUAAAACUCUGUUAUUAGGGAAGAACAAACGUGGAAGUAACUGUGCACGUCUUGACGGUACCUAAUCAGAAAGCAACGGCUAACUACGUG
rnacentral:rRNA from 1 species